GAAGAGGAGAGCGGGGAGACAGCCCGACUGCGGCACCAGUGCCUGCCGGUGCCGCCGCCCGGCUGCUGCCACCACACGGGAAACGACCGUCAUGCCCGCGGCUGCCCCGGAGCCGUUCCUGCCAGCCGGCAAACCCGGCACUGCCCAAAAGACCCCCCCAUUAAGGCAGGAGCGAAGUUAAGCGUGAGGAGGUGCCGCCAAGACCGGUAACAGGAGCAGAUCAAAGAAAGAAAAUGUUGUAUCUCUUUGUUGUUGUUUUGGUUUGGUUUUUGGUUUGUUUUUUUUUUUUUUCCUGCUUCACAGAAUCGCAGGACAGGUCAGGUUGGAAGGGACCACAGUGGGACAUCUGGUUCAGCCUCCCUGCUCAAGCAGGGUCAUCCCAGAGCACAUGGACAGGAUUGUGUCCAGACGGUUCUUGAGAAUCUCCAGUGAGUGAGACUCCACACCUCUCUGAGCAAUCUGUUCCAGUGCUCGCACAGUGACAAGUUCUUCCUUACAUUCUGGUGGCACUUCCUGUGCAUCAGUUUCUGCCCCUUGCCUUGUAUUUGUUACACAGAUACACUCUCUACUUCAAUAGAGUCAUUAUAACACAGGUAUGUAGGAGGUGGAAAGCUACAGCUGGGGACUCUGAAGACAAUCAUGCAAAUAUGCUUGCCACACAAUCGGGAAGCAGAAACAGGAGCUCAGUUUUCUGUGAAGGGAGGUACAACAGGACCACCUGAAGAACAGUAAGUCACCUACACAUUUGGUGUGCCCCCCUCCUCCAUUUUCAAGCUGAAACAGCUGCUCAAGUAACCUUCCUGGCUGAGGUCUUAAAAAAAGGCUUUAAGGUAAGGCAAAUGCUGUAGGGAAACCCUUUUUAUAGGUUGUCUUUAUACAGAAUAAGAAGAAAGGGAAGGCAAAGGCACAGUUACAGGACUGACAUGAUUUUACUUGCUUGCUUAAUAACAGCUCAGUGUCUCCUUUCUAUCUAAAUGCUUCUCUAUUAAAAAAAAUGAUUACCUGGCUCGAUAUCACACUUGGUUCUCUCAGUGACUGCUGGUUCGUUGUUUGUGAAGAUGUGAUUUGCCCUUGAAGUUGAGGACUGGAGACAAGCUGCUGCUGAGUAAUGGCCCCUGACCUCUGCUGUAGCUGUUGUGGGUCCAGCUGCUGAGUAUUGCUAAAGCUCAGGGACACUGUUGGCUGCUGUAAGAUCAUCUGGAAAAGAAGAGAGGAGGAUUUAUUUACAUAGCCCAGAUGUCUUGAAUAAUGAAUGUGAUAGAAGUAAAUCCAAAGAUAUAUUCUAAAAUAAAGUUAUCACAUUUCUGGAUUCAUAAUACA